rnacentral:rRNA from 1 species
CAGUCGCCGCGGUAAUACAGAGGGUGCGAGCGUUAAUCGGAUUUACUGGGCGUAAAGCGUGCGUAGGCGGCUUCUUAAGUCGGAUGUGAAAUCCCUGAGCUUAACUUAGGAAUUGCAUUUGAUACUGGGAAGCUAGAGUAUGGGAGAGGAUGGUAGAAUUCCAGGUGUAGCGGUGAAAUGCGUAGAGAUCUGGAGGAAUACCGAUGGCGAAGGCAGCCAUCUGGCCUAAUACUGACGCUGAGGUACGAAAGCAUGGGGAGCAAACAGGAUUAGAUACCCGCGUAGUCCCUGUCUCUUAUAC